CCACACCCGUUUUGUCCACCGCCAUCACCACCUUCUCCCAGAUCAAGGACAAAGUGUAUUACAGACUCACACAUAAGGAAGAUAUGCGUGUGAUUGUGUUUGGCACGCCAUCACACACAACCUGCAGUUCAUGCUUGGGAUGGGACACACUGGGACAGCCUCGGACCGUUGGUGGGAGCAAGACAAGGCUGUGGCAAUUUUGCCACUCAGACCUGUUGCCUUGUUACUAUUAUUGCACAUCCUAAGAAGAACUCGUGGAGACCACACCACAGCUGCAUAUUCCAGCCUUGGGCGUAUCAUGCUUGUGAU